GACGAACGCUGGCGGCGUGCUUAACACAUGCAAGUCGAACGGAAAGGCCCCGUUGGGGGUGGUUGCGUGGCGAACGGGGGAGUGACACGCGAGUGACCUGCCCUUGACUUCGGGAUAACUACAGGCAACAGGGGCUAAUUCAGGCAAGGUAUCCGUGCCUGAUGGCGGGGGGUGGAAAGCUUCGGCGGGCUUGGAUGGACGCGCGGCUUAUUUGCUUGUUGGUGGGGUAGUGGCUUACCAAGGCAUUGAUUGGUAGCUGGCCUGGGGGGGCGACCGGCCCCACUGGGACUUAGAGGCGGCCCCGACUCCUACGGGGGGCCGAAGUGGGGAAUAUUGCACAAGGGGCGCCGGCCUGAUGCAGCACCGCCGCGUGCGGGAGGCCGCCCUUCUGGUUGUAGACCGCUUUCAGCCGGGGCGAAGCGUGUGGUGACGGUACCUGCAGAAGAAGCACCGGCUAACUACGUG
rnacentral:rRNA from 1 species